rnacentral:rRNA from 1 species
AGAUGGCGACCGGCGCACGGGUGAGUAACACGUAUCCAACCUGCCGAUAACUCGGGGAUAGCCUUUCGAAAGAAAGAUUAAUACCCGAUGGCAUAAUUAGACCGCAUGGUCUUAUUAUUAAAGAAUUUCGGUUAUCGAUGGGGAUGCGUUCCAUUAGGCAGUUGGUGAGGUAACGACUCACCAAACCUUCGAUGGAUAGGGGUUCUGAGAGGAAGGUCCCCCACAUUGGAACUGAGACACGGUCCAA